rnacentral:rRNA from 1 species
UACGUAGGGACCAAGCGUUGUUCGGAUUUACUGGGCGUAAAGGGCGCGUAGAGGCGCGGUAAGUCACUUGUGAAAUCUCUGAGCUUAACUCAGAACGGCCAAGUGAUACUGCAGUGCUAGAGUGUGGAAGGGGCAAUCGGAAUUCUUGGUGUAGCGGUGAAAUGCGUAGAUAUCAAGAGGAACACCUGAGGUGAAGACGGGUUGCUGGGCCAACACUGACGCUGAGGCGCGAAAGCCAGGGGAGCAAACGGG